rnacentral:rRNA from 1 species
AUGAUGGCAAGGCGGCAGAGAGGAUUCCGGCUCGGCCGGAAGCUGCUGGGCCUCUGGCGCCGGGCGCUCUGCAACCGCCGGCGACGCGGCUACGCCCGCCUGCAGCGGUGCCAGCUGGGAGCUGGCGCGAAGCCGUCCCACGCGGCCGUCGGGAGCGCCAAGCAGCAGCAGCAGCUGGUGGUGCUGCCGCGGGAGCGGGACGAGCCCCGGCGGAUGCUGGGGUGGGGUCGGUCGCUGGCGCGGCGGAUGAGGCUCCUGCCGCGGCGUGGCGAGCGGCUGCUGGAGGACGCCGGCGAGGCGACCACGCCCAAGGGGCAGGUGGCGGUGUACGUGGGCGGCGACGAGCCCGGCGGGGAGUCGAUGAGGUACGUGGUGCCGGUGGUGUACUUCAACCACCCGCUCUUCGGGGAGCUGCUGCGCGAGGCCGAGGAGGAGUUCGGCUUCGAGCACCCCGGCGGGAUCACCAUCCCCUGCGCGGCCACGCGGUUCGAGCGCGCCGCCGCCAUGGCCGCCGCCGGCGGCGGCAGGAAGGCGCCCGGCUGGUGGUAG